UGGGGAAUUUUGGACAAUGGGGAAACCCUGAUCCAGCCAUCCCGCGUGUUCGAUGAAGGCCUUCGGGUUGUAAAGCACUUUUGGCAGGAAAGAAACGUCAUGGGUUAAUACCCCGUGAAACUGACGGUACCUGCAGAAUAAGCACCGGCUAACUACGUGCCAGCAGCCGCGGUAAUACGUAGGGUGCAAGCGUUAAUCGGAAUUACUGGGCGUAAAGCGUGCGCAGGCGGUUCGGAAAGAAAGAUGUGAAAUCCCAGAGCUCAACUUUGGAACUGCAUUUUUAACUACCGGGCUAGAGUGUGUCAGAGGGAGGUGGAAUUCCGCGUGUAGCAGUGAAAUGCGUAGAUAUGCGGAGGAACACCGAUGGCGAAGGCAGCCUCCUGGGAUAACACUGACGCUCAUGCACGAAAGCGUGGGGAGCAAACAGG
rnacentral:rRNA from 1 species